CUUAUAGGGGCUGCAUGAUUAUAAAUAAUACAUUGAGAGAGAAUUCUUUUAUUUUUUGUUAUUUCUUUUUCUUCAAAUUCUUCAGUUUAUUUUAAAUGGAUAGUAUUAAUAUUGAUAGGGAGAAAAAUAAGUCUAUACUAUACUAUAGACAGAAACUUAGACGUUUUAGGAUAAUGGAAACUGACCAGCAAAUGAGCAAGCAUGAAAAGCUUGUCAUCCCAACCCAGAGACAUCAGUUAUCCCUGAUUUUUGUCUUACUGAAAUCCUUUUCUAUUAUUUCCUUUUCUAUUAUUUCCUUACUAAUCCAAUUAAAUUGAGGAAGAAAUCCAAAUUGUUUUCAGAUGUCAUUUGUUCAUCUUUUUAUCAGUAUUGAUGGAAAAACUGUCAAUCUUAAAAUUCUAUGAUCUUG
rnacentral:lncRNA from 1 species